UUUAUUGUUACCUCUUUCACCAUAUUUCUACUUCUUUUUCUUCUUCAUAUUAGUUAUUUUUCUUCACUUACAUUCAUGAGUUUCUAAUGCCUCUGUGGAUCGAUCAAUGAUUGUUCAUGCGAUUCACUACAUUAGAAAAGAAAAAAGAUGAAGAUGUUGUUGUGAAAAUAAUCAUAAAUCUCAAAAAUCAAAUUGAUGAAGCAUAAAAAGUUUGCAGAAAUUUUGAGUUCCUAUUCCAUGGUUGAGCAAAAAUUAGAAUCAAUACUUCUAAGGUUUCAUUCCAUUAAUCUUUAUGCAACUUCGGGAUUGAUACCUAGAAUAAUGGAAUUGAACUUUAGAAGUAUGGAUUUUGGAGCCUUAGAAGUAUGAAUUUCUUACCUAUACACAAUUUCAUCAGUUAUCUCUAUGUUCCUAUCCAUGUAACUGAUCUUUGGAAUAAACAACAAUGGCAGUUACACUGUUUUAAAGGCUUUGCCGUAUAUAUUAGAGAAGACAUAUCAAACGUGUGAAGUCAUUUUAAUUUUUUUUUCAUCUUUAUUUAUAUUUUGACCAGUCAUAUCAGUUAUAUGUUAUAGUAACCAUGUCACUGGUUAUGUGUUUGGAAACUCAGUUGGCCACUGUGAUUGUGAUAUUUUACGAUCUUUUUGAGGUUUCUGAAAGUUAGAUGUGGUUAUUAGGAGGUUUCAUUAUGUCUUGAUUGGUUG